rnacentral:rRNA from 1 species
UACGAAGGGGGGCUAGCGUUGCUCGGAUUGACUGGGCGUAAAGGGCGCGUAGGCGGUUCGUACAGUCAGACGUGAAAUUCCUGGGCUCAACCUGGGGGGCUGCGUUGGAUACGUGCGGACUUGAGUGCGGAAGAGGGUCGUGGAAUUCCCAGUGUAGAGGUGAAAUUCGUAGAUAUUGGGGAAGAACACCGGUGGCGAAGGCGGCGACCUGGUCCGAUACUGACGCUGAGGCGCGAAAGCGUGGGGAGCAAACAGG